AUCGGACGUCCGAUCCCUAGUCCUCUCCGAUUCUCCCAAUCUCCCCCUCUCGUCUGCCUCAACCUCAAGCCAAUCGCGCUCACGCUGGGAGCAGACCGGUCGCCGGUGGCGGUAUCAGGGAGUAACGUGUUCCGACGAGGGGCGGCUAGCCGGCUAUACUGGGAGCAUAACGAGCCCUGCCGGCGGGGGGCGAACGACAUCGAGGGACGCUUAGCCGCUCGGAGGGCGGUGGAUUUUGUUCUCUGGUAG
rnacentral:lncRNA from 2 species